rnacentral:rRNA from 1 species
UACGUAGGGGGCUAGCGUUGUCCGGAAUCAUUGGGCGUAAAGCGCGCGUAGGCGGCCCGGUAAGUCCGUUGUGAAAGUCAAAGGCUCAACCUUUGAAAGCCGAUGGAUACUGCCGGGCUGGAGUCCGGAAGAGGCGAGUGGAAUUCCUGGUGUAGCGGUGGAAUGCGCAGAUAUCAGGAGGAACACCAAUAGCGAAGGCAGCUCGCUGGGACGGUACUGACGCUGAGGCGCGAAAGCGUGGGGAGCGAACAGG